rnacentral:rRNA from 1 species
UACGGAGGGGGCGAGCGUUAUUCGGAAUUACUGGGCGUAAAGGGCGCGUAGGCGGCCUGCUAAGUCGAACGUGAAAUCCCCGGGCUCAACCCGGGAACUGCGUCCGAUACUGGCAGGCUUGAAUUCGGGAGAGGGAUGCGGAAUUCCAGGUGUAGCGGUGAAAUGCGUAGAUAUCUGGAGGAACACCGGUGGCGAAGGCGGCAUCCUGGACCGAAAUUGACGCUGAGGCGCGAAAGCGUGGGGAGCAAACAGG